UGCCGAAGAAGAAUUUCAUAGACACGAGGAAAAAAGUUAUAAGGAUUUAUCAGGUAAUAGAAGAAUUUUAGUAGCACGUUGCAGCAAAUUCGACAGAAAAACAGUGAAACCAGGCAUAUGGCCAGAAAUUGAUGGAAACAUGAUGAAAAAUUUAGAAAACGGUGGUUAGGCAAUAGGAUAAAGUUUGCUUUGUUGAACAGUUACAAGCCAUUCACAUCGCUAAUAAAUUGUCUGGUUUGGGUUGCAUAGUGAACGAAUGAAGGCUUUGAAAAACGAUAGGUGGUCUUGACUACCGUGGAUUGAAUGAUUACAUGACGUCGAAGUUUCACCGCAUUGUUUAGUUAAGUUCCUUCGUGCAUAAACACGGCGUUUUAAAAGCACCUAUUGCUUCUUUGUGGUCACUGUUCAGACUAGAUACACUUCUAGUUCUAGUCCCUAGCGUCUAGUUCUUAAAACCGUAUAUAUCAAUUGAAUGUGGUAUUAGAUGACGAGAGCUGCAGAUGAGAGCAUGACUUUUAUUGUUGGUCCAAGAACAGUAAAGCUAGAAAGCUGCUUGUAUUCGGUGGCAUUUAAAGGUAUUUCAAAGAAAUAUUCAUGCUAAAAAUGUGAUUGGUGGUGCUAACAGACAAAAGCAAAGGAUGGAUUGAGUUUCAAAUGUUUGAACAAAGCCGCAAUUCAUUUAUAACGGCAACAGGAAGAAUCUGAUUUGGGACGAUAAGCUUCGCGAUGACGGCGACUUUAGCCUUAUGGCACUGCAAAGGAAGCGUAGACGAAUGACGUUGAUUGGCCGUAGUGACACUGUCAGUGGUCAUUUAAAUCGAUCAUCACAUCACUAUACGCUAGUAGCAAGGUAGUUCACAAGCCGAUUGUAUGACAACAAAACAUCUACAGAUACGCAACAAAGACGCUCGUUUAGAUUAUUGCAAAGCUUCAAAGGAGCAGCCACAGCUUAUUUUCAAGCAGAAGCUAGGAACACGGAUCAUUCAAGUUGGCAACUUUUUCUAGCAGCAAGAGGCAGCCUGAACGGACUUUGGCUCAAAAUCAGUUGAAGUAAAGCAAGGCAACAUCCAGUUUGGAAACAACACUGGAAGAUGUUUGCUUGACCUCGGUGCCACAACGCAAUCUAGUGCCCAGUUUAUUUGAUUUAGAGCCAGAAUGGAGUGAGACCCUAUGUGUCAUUUGAGAAUCCACGUGCUGUGAAAAACACAAGAAAGUAAAAUACCACAUCGAUUGAGUAGAUUCUGUAUGUGUAAAGAGGUCACAUACUCCCAUUAAGCCGGAGUUGUUAGUGGCUUGCAGGGCAACGAAUCGAAAUUGAGGUAGAAACUAGUGCUUGCCAAUGAAGAGGGCUUUUUGAUGUGCAUCAGUACAGCGGAGGGAGACAAACUGUUUUCGUGAUGCCCAAAGAAAGAGCAUCUCUCUACGCAGGUCUCGUUUGAAUUCUAUUUUGAUAAAGUCGUGGCUACUGCAGUAUUUUGGAUUGAAAAGUGUAUUCGCAAAAACAGCUGUAUCAUAACUUGAUGUAUCCUCAUCAAAGCUGCCUAACAAAAGUUAAUUUAACUUCACAUGGUUAACAACCAUAUUCUUAGUAAAUCUCAGAUCAGCUUUUCCACUGAAAAUGGAUCAUCUGCAAGAGGGAAGCAGUAAACAAGAUAGGACGUCAUGUUUGAAAGACCAGGUUUCAAAAAUUUACAUGAACACGAUAGCUGCAAAUGAGCGAGAAGACAGGCUGCUUAGCAAAAGACUCGAUGCAAUAGAUAUGGAACACAGGGCACAAUAUUUGAGGAUGAGGAAAAUAAUUAGGGAUGCAAAGGCCUUCAGUAGAAGAAGGUUUCCCGCACUGCUGUCUGGGAGACCGACGCUGGAGAGCAAGACAUUGGAUACAUCUAAUCGCGGACACACUGCACCAGCAAAAGGUUUAUCUUUGAGUGCCAAUGGGCAACGCACGGGUUCAAUUUCAGAAGAUCAAAUGGACAAAGAAACACAUGUUUCGAAAAUUGACAGUAAAACAGCAAGUUGCCAGUUGAUUGACGCUAAGCCAGUAGGACAAGGUAAUGAGCAAAGGCAUGGAAAGGAGCUUGUAGAUCGUCUGAAGUACACAGAGCAAGAAGUUCUUCGCAUUCGUAAAUCUUUCGCUGGCCAGAACACCCCACCCGUACGAAAAAGGACAUUUUUACCUCACCUUGAGAUGCGCCCUGAAAUCCCAGUCUUAUCAGUUGAUAUCAGGACCAAUCCUAUGACACAGACGGUUCCACAUGGUGCAAAUUCUAAUUCACCUGCAAAUAUAAAAGAAAGAAAGGAUGCAGCGUUACCUGAGAUUUCGAAAAAGUCGACACCCACUAACAUUCAACGCAGGAAAACACUAGCCGGAACGAAUGCAUCACUUUUACGAUCAAUGAAAAGGGAGUCAACGGCUUUAAGCAGGUCCCUUCCGUCGAGUUUUUGAAAACAUUUAAGUCUCAUAAUGUUCAUUUCACACAUUUUGUGAUAAUGCUAAAAGUACGUUUAAGGUGAUAUGGAAGCAGUCUGCAAUGACUAGUUCUCGAUAUCUUGGAUUAAGCCCCAAUCCUAACAGAAAAAUAAAUCCUAAAAGGUUAAGCCAUUUUUUAAGAUGGUCCUAUUCAUGAAAUAGAACCCCUUGGUAAUUUUUCUGUUGGUAUAGUAACAUAAUAUUGCGCACUGUACACUUCGUGUUUGCAUAUUUGGACAACUAAGACAUAUUCAUAAGCGUACGAGGGUGGGGGAGGGGGAGAUUGGCUGGUUGUAUUCAGCUUCCUAGGGUAUAAAAAGUCAUCUAAAGAUUCAGUCAUCAGUUCGCUGAUAGUCAGGCGUAUGUUUUACAAGUGCUUUAAAGAUCUUGAAAAAAGCUCUAUUGUUUUGCAAAAAAGUGGCGCUGGUCCCUCGCCCCUCCCCCCUCGUCGGAGACCCAGCAUAACUCUCCAACGCUUUAAGUAUUUUGCAAGUCAAGCUGCUUAGUUUCUUAGGGAGCACUUUGAAUAGAACUAUUUUUGUCCCUAAGGGAACACUGAAAGUAUCCGAAAUGUUGCCUACAGAUAUGAACUUUAUUAAUUUAUUAAUUUAUUAAUACUUUAAUAAUCUGAGCAGUUAUAGUGAGGAAAGGAUACAAUGGAUUCUGAGAGAAAAUUAAAAUGCGUCAAUAGCCCAAUUCGUUUUUUCUAAUUCAGGAUAAUGGUAUCUGUGGCUUAUUCACAGUACUCAAGCAAUCUGUUGUCCACAUUUGCCCUAAUUUUAUCGUUUUGACAGUACAGUACCUACUGACUCCCUCUUUUAAAAUCAGGGUAGGGUACUUUUGAUCCAAUAGAACAGAACAAAUUUUUUUCAAGGUUCAAGGCUUACUACUGAUCCAAUAAGCAUGCAUUAAUACACCCUGCAUUGAAUACGAUUCAAGGAUCAAUUCCUUUAACGAUUUCACGGGGGCAGCGCCUUUUUUUAUAGAUCAAAGUCCACUGAGUAGAAAGGAUUUGGUUAACACUGAAUAUUGAUAUAUCCUACUGCAUGGUGAAGAACAUGGCUCCCUAAGAUAUAUUAGCACAGCUCCUGCUCUAAUUUUUUAAAUCAUUUGGUGUAUGUUUUGCCAGCAGUUCUUCAAGGAUUCAUUUUUUAUAAUUAGGUCCAAAAAUCCAUUUCUGUGAUUUUGCUAUUGAAUAGAAAAUGAUAUAGAUAAGUAUAGGAAAUAAUUUUGCAAUCCUGUCAUUAUUUAUUUUAAAGCAAUAAUAUAUAUUUGUUUAUAGAUAAUUCUGGCAUUUAAGUUGCCUCAAUCUGGAUUGUAAAUAUAUCGCGUGAAUGAUAAUUGUCUUUAUACCAGGUACUUGUUUAAUGUUGUUUAAUAUGUCACCAUUGAAUUCAUACAUAAAUUCUUUGGCGAAGCUUAAAAAUCCGGUGAGGACAAUCCGAUUACCCUCGUGUCAUACACGUCGAAGAGUUUUAUGACUGCACCAUUGAAUUACAGGUCAUACUUAGGUAACUCGGUACCUUUUCCUGAGCUCUGAGAAAUAAUUACAAUUGAAUGAUGUCUUUAUUAAAAAUUCUCUCCAAGAAAAUUUUCGUUUCAUUCAAAAUUAGGUUAUAAUCAGAAGGAUCACUUCAGAACAUAAAACCAGUCUUUCUCGUCAAGAAACUUAAUCACAAACACCAAAUAAUGCCA